GACAGAGGGUGCAAACGUUGUUCGGAAUUACUGGGCGUAAAGACGAGUGUAGGCGGUCUCCUAAGUCGGGUGUGAAAGCCCACGGCUCAACCGUGGAGGGUCAUUGGAAACUGGGGAACUUGAGUACAGAAGAGGAAAGCGGAAUUCCACGUGUAGCGGUGAAAUGCGUAGAGAUGUGGAGGAACACCAGUGGCGAAGGCGGCUUCUGGUCUGUAACUGACGCUGAGGCGCGAAAGCGUGGGGGAGCAAACAGG
rnacentral:rRNA from 1 species